rnacentral:tRNA from 1 species
GCGUGUAGGUCAGUGGUAGAACAUUUGUUUGGUACACAUGAAACCCUGGGUUCCAUCCCCAGUACUGCA